rnacentral:rRNA from 1 species
AUGAGGACAGUGCUUUUUGUAGAGAUAUCUGAAGUGAAUAAGAGGAUUUUGAGAAGUUGGUGGAAGCAGACUCAGACAGGCGAGUUGAUUCAGAUUCCAGACGUGAAGACUCUAACUGAUGAUAAAAUCAAGUCAUUUAUUGAAAGAAUUGGCGGCUCUGACUUGAUGAUUGGGGGCAGCCCAUGCAACAAUCUCGCCGGCAGAAAUCGGUUCCACCGUGACGGUCUAAAGGGCGAGCACUCUUCUCUAUUCUACCAGUACCCCAGAAUCUUGAACACCGUCAAGUCGGUGAUGGCGAGGAUGUAG